UCUUAGCUAACUCAAUCUUAGCCACUAAUCUUAUCCCUCAUCCAUAUAGGAACUUUAGAAAUUGGAGACAAUAGGAAAUGGAAUUAGAUCAAGUUUACAUACGAUAACAAUUAAUUUUCAUAACAUACCUGGCCUGUAUAAUAAUUUUUGAAAAAAUAACUAAAUACCAUCGUUAUCAUUAUUUAAAUUACAAUAAUAAUAUAAAUAGUUUUCACACUACCAGCCCGUACCGCCAUAGUAAUAGGUGCAAAAACAGCCAAAUAGUUCCCCGCACUCUCCACUUAUAUGAUUAUUUCCAGAACGUUCUGCACAAUAAUUGUUGCAGUUUUCGUCGAAAAGACACCAUCCAUAAUCAUUAGAACCAUCCUCUACAAUGUUCUUACCUUCGACUUCUGUCAAUUCUGCAUCCAAAAACAAAGAAAAUGGAAAAAAUAAAAUAAGAAAUAGCCUGAUUUACAACAAGUAAUUAAAAAAUAAUCAUAAUUUCAAAAUUAAAUAAAAUUUAACUACUUUUUCAUGUAAAGAUAAUAUCUGAACAAAAAUACCUUUAAAAAUCCGAAAAUAUUUUUGCAUAAUAUGUCGGAGUUCGAAUUUUUUACAUAUAAGACUCCAGCAUAAUGUACAGAAGUUCCAACAUAAUAUGCUAAAAGUUUAUACGCAGGAACUCCAUAAUCCAACAUAUUAUGCUGAAACUUUCUGUGUUUCAGCUAGGGUAUUUUUGUCCAGAUUUUAUCUCUGUAUAAAAUAGUGGUUAUUUUUCAAUGACUUUACAAACACCGACAAUUUUUCGAUUACGAGUCCGAAAAUUGGCUAGCCCAUGCUAUUUUCACAAAGUAAAAUUAACAACUACGAAAAUUCUUUUUUAUACCUCAGAAUUAAGCAGUUAUAUGAUUCAAAGUAAAUAAAGUGCGAGAUUUCAUCAUAUAUUUAGUAAUAAUUUUUGCAUCGAUAUCAAAUCAAACUCAUAGAAAUAAACAAGCAAUCACCUAGUGAUGCAAAGGCUAAAAUCAAACAGAUCAGAAGGACAAAAAGUCGUGAUGUAGUCAUUAUUUCUUCUUCUGGUUGAAGAGAAUGUUUCUAAAUG
rnacentral:lncRNA from 1 species